rnacentral:rRNA from 1 species
GACGAACGCUGGCGGCGUGCUUAACACAUGCAAGUCGAACGGUGAAGCGCCUUCCUUUUUGGUGGGUGUGGAUGAGUGGCGAACGGGUGAGUAACACGUGAGUAACCUGCCCCCUUCUUCUGGAUAACCGCAUGAAAGUGUGGCUAAUACGGGAUAUUCUGGGUCUGCCGCAUGAUGGGUCUGGGAAAGAUAUUGUUUCGGUGGGGGAUGGGCUCGCGGCCUAUCCGCUUGGUGGUGGGGUGAUGGCGUACCAAGGCGGUGCCGGGUAGCCGGCCUGAGAGGGUGGACGGUCACACUGGGACUGAGACACUGCCCAGACUCCUACGGGAGGCAGCAGUGGGGAAUAGUGCACAAUGGGCGCGAGCCUGAUGCAGCGACGCCGCGUGAGGGAUGGAGGCCUUCGGGUUGUGAACCUCUUUCGCCAGUGAAGCAGGCCUGCCUCGUUUGUGGGUGGGUUGACGGUAGCUGGAUAAGAAGCGCCGGCUAACUACGUG